UGGUGAGACCGUCGAUUUCGGAGGAACCUUGGAGUAGGCAUUAAGUAUCCUGCUAAAAAGAUUUGCAACCUCUUCACAUUCACGUGCAUUGUAGAACCAAAUGCCAUUAACUUCUCGGGCAGCAUUUCGAUAUAAGAGAUAUGGAACUUGGAUCUCGUACUCAAAAUCCCCCAAAAGAUUUUCAACCAAAUUAUCUGUGUUCCGCCGAUUCAUUACGAUGAACUGAAAACGAGGCUGUGUAUUCCUCUUGACGACAAAGAGAGACCCUUCCACGUCCUUGCGACUCCAUUGGCUGAGCUCAAUAUUGAACUCAUAGAAGGUGACAUGAGCAGCAGUGAUGAGAAUUUCCUCGACGAAAGGGUCAAUUCGUUGAAGAACUGUUAAAUUAAGGAGCUUCGUGCUGUUUUGGUCCAGAUUGGGCAUCAAUUUGCCAUUUUGUGACAUUUUGUUAUCCAAUUCUGAAUCUCCCAAACACAAACCCUAGAAUAAGAUUUUCACCCUUGAGG
rnacentral:misc_RNA from 1 species